AUAUUUUCUAAGAAAUUCGUUUAGUUUUUCAUUUAGUUUUGUUUUAUAUUUUCGAAUACUUUCGUUUUUGGUACAAACCAAGUGCAUUGGGCAAUAAGAGUAGAAGAAACACGAAACUACAUAGAAUGUAAAAUGUAGCAAAAUGCAAUAAUGUUUAGCCGGAACAUAUCAUAAGGGUUUGCUGGCAACGUUGCUGCCUUGGAAGUCAAGAAAGUCGAGGAAGACUUGGAGCACUUGGUAGCUGUGCAUCUGCAUGGAACGUUGCCUCAACUGUGGACUGCCGCCAAGCAAAUUGUUUAGCAUUUAUCAUUGGAAAUGCUUAUCUGCAAUACAUAUACAAAUAGAAAUACAAACUCGAAUGCAAUAUGCUAAAUUUGUAUGUAGAUUGCAAAUGUCUGACAGGGGCACAGGAAGACAGACAGGCACGAAUGCAAUGAAUGCGCCCUAUCAGGCAUCAGCAUGCACAUAAAUCAAAUAUUUGAAAUAUUUUCUGCGUUUACGACUAAAUAAUAAUCAAAAAUUCCAGGCUGAGGACAUGCAUACACAGACACACACACACACACACAUACACGCACACUCACUGAAUUCAUAGGAAUAGAAGUAAAACUGGAACAAGAAUACAUAGAAAAUAACAUAGCUCUAUUCGAAAAUGAAACAAGAACAUUUUUGUACAGUGCGUUUACUUUUUGUAUCUGUGUGUAAACUAUUUGUAUUAUACUCGUAUUUUGUGCAUUUGUAUUUGACACAAACCAGAAACAGACUAUGUCACUUUUUAUACAUAUUUAACUAACAAAAUAUAAUGUUUAAAAACAAAACAAAAACAAAAGACAAACAAUUGACCAACAAAAAACCAAAUCUACAAUCCUACAACAUAUACACAACACCCGAAAAUACAACACACAAAAUUAUUAAAUUCAUAUGGAGAAACCAAAAAUAUGAAAGCUAAACUAUGAGCAAAACACAUUUGUGUCCCUCAACAAAUAAUUAAUAAUAAUGAAAGAAUAUUACAUACGCAGCUAAAAAAACAGCUAAAAACGUUAAUCAACAAUAUUGCAUACCAUUACCAAAAAAAAAAAAAAAAAAAAACUAAACUAAAUGCAAAAAUUUAAAUGUUGUGAUACGAUUGACAUAGUAAAAACUUAUUACCAGCAACAAAAAAUACCAUAUAGCAUACUCGUCGUGGAGUGUACGUGCUUUCAGUUUUUAUCCAGUUUGAGCUUUUUCAAUUUAUUGCAUUUGCAUUUUAAAGAUAAUUGAGCAUAAUCAAUUAUUUUGCCACAUUUAACAGAUGAGGGAAACGCGACGGCAAAAAGCAUUUCAAUUUUUUUAUUACUUUCCUUGUUUUUUUUUCUUUCGCUUCUUUGCAUAUGCAGAUUUAAAUUGAAUCAGCGCCUGCGUUUAAAGAAAUCUGUGAAUAAAAUACAUUUUUUUUUCAAUAAAUGUUUAUACGUUUAUAUACAUGCGAAUAGGUUCACUCGAGGUGUGAUUUUUCAACAAGUAUAUGAAAGCUUUUGAAGAUAAAAGAAUUCAGUUCUGAAUCUCUACUCUGUUUAUUUAAGAUCUGUACUGAAGAUAAUUUAACUUCUAUCUUUAGUUUAUAAAUGCAGAGAGAGAAAGAGUGAGGGAGAGGGAGACAGAGAGAGAGAGGGAGAUAGAGAGAGAGUCUUAAUAGCAGACAAUAAACUUGGAAUUCUAAAGUCGUUUUCAUUCUAUUAAGUUAGAAAAGUUCCUCAACAGGACAGAUUCAAGAACUUAUUGCGAAAAAACUUAAAGCAAAUCUUAUUUAUAUUUGCUUAAAUCACAGUUGAACCUAUUCACUUGGCCAUUUAUUGUAUUUCGAAUGAAAUUUUGGACACACAACAAGUGUGUGCCAUUUCAAAGAAUUUUUUAAUUACAGAGUUUUCUGUAAUUUUAUAUUGACGUUAAUGCAGUUGUAAUUUGAGGUUUUAAAGCCCGAUAGAAAAAUGCGCCCUUAAGCAUGCAACACUUUUUUGCCUUUCGUUUCUCUAUGUAUCUUUUGUACAUACACAUACACAAAUAUUUGUAAUAUGUGCAGCUGCUACAAAAUGGUAAUUAAAGUGAAUGUGCUUAAACUAUUGCAAAGUUAAAGUUGUUAACGCUUAAGGCAAAACGAGGAGAAACAUAAAUAAGCAGUCCAUACUAUCAAAACACAGAAACAUAAACACAAUGUAAAUUACAUAAAUGAAAACUCCAAUCUAGUAAGCAUAACAUAUAAAUAUAACAUAAUAGUUAUUAUAUUAUUGAACAGCAGCUCGCGCCGAAACAGCAAAACAACAAAAAAAAAAAAAAAACAACAAAUGUGAUUUUUGAAUAAAAAUUAAAAGAAAUGAAACUCGAUGCCUAUCAUUCAAUCACUCGCAUGCUUCAGCUGCUGCAACUGAGCUAAUGUAGUUUCUAUUAACAAGCUAAGAACAACUACAACAACAACUCGCCGACAGACUCAACACCUUGGCGAAAGUUUGCGAAACGAAUUAGCAAAGUUUUUAGCAAGGAACACGAAACAUGUCGCUGUCCUCUCCGAAAAAUAGUUUUUCAAGCAGGCGAAAUUCGCCGCCUAAAAGCAUGCAAUGAAAUUUCGCGGUUUUUGCACACUUUUCCAUGCAAAUAGUUAUGAUAAGGAGGGCAGAGUCCGACGAAGUGUAAUGGUAGAUAUAUGCACACCUUUACCAAAUUUUACUCUCAAUGUGAACUGUUUGCAAGAAGCGUUGAAAUCAGUGCAAUAGAUGAAUACGAUUUAAAAGCUGAAGAACUUUGAUCCGGGCUGGCAUCCCAGACAAGUGCAUGAAUGUAAAACUAUCUUAGCCGAUUGCUAUAGACCCUAAGGCUAUCUUAAAAGGGAACGUGAGUAGUUAUUAAGAAAUAAAUAAAUUGUAAGGUUUUUUUUGCAUUUAAACAAAGAUUGGCUAAACUUAAGCAAAAAACUCUCAAUAUUUAUAUCUAAUUUCUAUUGUUUUUAAAGCACAAUGCUUUUUAUAAGAAGACAAGCUGCCGACACGGACUUCGCUUCAAUGUUGUUGUCCUCAAAAAUCAGGAAGAUUACUCAACAGGCAAAACAACAGGCAAAACAAGAAGAAAGAGCUGAAUAUUCAAAUUGGGUAUAUAAAAUCAUGAAAUAAAUAGACAAACUUUCAUGCUUUAUUAACAAACUGUGCCGAAAA